UGUGGAAUCCAAAAAAAGGGUACAAAUGAAUUUAUUUACAAAACAGAAACUGACUUUUUUGAAAACAAAGUUAUGGUUACCAAAGGGGAGAGGUUGGGGGAGGGAUGGACUGGGGUUUUGAGAUUGGCAUAUGCACACCAUUGUACAUGGAGUGGAUGGUCAACAGGGACAGGCUGUACAGCACUGGGAACUCUACUCGGUAUUCUGUGAUAACCUAUAUGAAUCACUUUGUUGUACAGCAGAAAUUACCACAACAUUGUAAAUCAACUAUACUUCAUUAAAGUUUUAAGAUUCAAAAAUAAAUAAAUAAAGACGAUACCAAGUCUCAUUAAUUGCAUCUGAUUCUUUCCGGCUUGAUCUUUUCCCCAUGUGUGUCACAAAAGGUCUUCAAAGUUGUCUGUGUUUGAGGGUCUCUUCUGAUGUCAGAGGAGGGCAGGAGAUGUGAAGCUUCCAUUCUUAUUUUUCUGCUUCUCCUAAGCUCCUUCCAGCUCUGCUUUUCUUUGACUCUCUUCCCGCUGGGCAGAGGCGUAGCUUCAUGGAUCUUGAAGGGCUGAAUGUUCUACAUAACUCUGGAGCCUGAAUGGUGGGGGCUCUGGGAUCAUCAGAUCCCUCCCAAGGUGCCCACUCUGAUGCUGUUUCUCUUCCUCAAUGGUGGAAGAUUCUCUAGAAGAGCCAUUAAAGUCCCCCAGUGGCCCCCGCUCACUCCACACUUGGGUCAGGAUGUGAAAGAUGACUUUGAGCUGGAAAGUCUUUGAUCUCCCUUCAUCUCAGAGGUCCAGCUUCCAGAACCAUGAGAAGUCAGUCUGCUGUUUAAGUCACUGGAUUGUCAGCAUUUUGUGACAGCAGCCUGAGAGGGCUAAGCCUGCAUGAAAGCCAAAAUUUGCAACAAAAUUAAUCACUAAUUAACUCAUCCUCCAGUGUCCCAGGGCCUGCUACUGUGCUGGGCUGUGGAACUACCCUAGUUAGGAUUUACAACCCUUAAUUAGUCUUGGUGCAAGGGUCAUUCAAGUUCAGGAAGAGAUCACCAGAGGGCAGGGAACCUGGGGCAGGAGCAAGGCCAGGGAAUGUCUGAGCUGAGUCUAGGAGGAGGAUGAAGGGAGGUGUUGGGGGGAGUAGGGGUCUGUUAGGAAUCAAGGAGGAGGCCCAGGUUCCUGGUUGGGGGAGGGGCUGGGUGGAGGAACUGAUAGACUAUGAAAACACAGUGAGAGGAGUUCCUGUUGUGGGCACAAUGGGAUCCAUCCAUGGCAUCUCUAGAGCCCUGGGACGCAGCUUUGACCCCUCACUUGGCACAGUGGGUUAAGGAUCUGGCAUUGCUGCAGCUUCGGCUUAGGUCACAACUGCAGCUUGGAUCUAAUCUCUGGCCCGGAAACUUCAAAAUGCCUCGGGGGCGGCCAAAACAGAAAAAAAAAACGGCGAGAGUAACUCCCUGUGACUUUCUGUUCUGUUACUUAACUCUCUACCUUACAUUGCCCUGUAAACAGGCUAUAACAGAAGUUCCUGGCCCCUCUUUUGCCAUCUUGGAUUGGCUUCUGUGCUUGGCAACAGGCACGCUGAUAGUCUGAGAUCUUACUGCAGAAAAUGUCUGCCCUCGCUCUUAACAUGUGUGAGCUGAGCUGUUUUUCUCUAGGGCUCAAAUGCUGUCCUGAAACCCAGAGGUGUUUGGAAAAAGGUAAAAAGCACCACCACCAAGCAGCCCUCCAGACUGUCUUUCACUUUAAC
rnacentral:lncRNA from 1 species